UAACCUCAUUGGUUGAUAUCUUUGGCGGAAGUACAUGUGAUACAUCCUCAUUCUUUCAAUAUCCAAGCUGUGGGAAGGUCGUGCUCCACGUGUUGUCGGCAAAGUAACUAUAUUCUUUAACUUUUACUUACAUUUGCCUUGGUGGCUUUAAGACCUUGGUGGUCAUUUAUAUAUGCCUUGGUGGCAAAAGACCUAGGUGGUCAUUUAUAUAUGCCUUGGUGGCAAUAGACCUAGGUGGUCAUUUUUAUAUGCCUUGGUGGCAAUAGACCUAGGUGGUCAUUUUUAUGAUUUUUUACAUUUGCCUUGAUGGGAACAAUGAAUUAAAAAUACUAGCCUUGGGGGCGUCAAGACCUUGGUGGUCAUUUAUAUUUGCCUUGGCGGCUUCUUGAUAGAACUAGAUGGUAAUGUUUGACCUUGGUGGCAAAAAUGUUUUGGGAUUUAGACCUUAAUAGGUAGUUAUUAUCAACCCAGGUGGUCAGAUAUUUGUUAUGCCGUGCGCCGGUUAAACGCAGGGCAAAGUGCUAUCGCUAUAUAAAAUAUAUGUGGAAGUGGGGGCUCUGGCCAUUUUGGAAAUUGUAGUUGAAAGGAGAAUAAUAAAUUGUUUAUAGGGUAAAUAGUUUCUUUUGUUACUUUUGACUGUGUUGUGGACUUUUCAUUUAUUUUUACAUCGUACAUACUGAUAGAAAUGCUAUUUAAAGACUUUGUUAGAAAAGAAUAGAAUUAUUGAGAAAGUGGAAUAAUUUAGUGUGACAUGUCACUUGAUAUUCAUGUUUUUUAUCGGAGUGAUGUGUAUUGAAUUAUAAGGUGUCUUCGUCGAGGUCCGCGUUCAGCGGUCUGUUUGAUUGUACAUAGAAUUGAAUAGAAUGUUUUUUGUUUUCAGAUGGUGUUACCUACAGCUUUGACAGGGUGACGAAUGAAGGAGAAGUAAUAUGACAUUGCACGAUGAUUCAUGUCAAUGAGUUCGAACAACCUUUUUAAAAGGAAAGGAUUUUUUCUAAUCAGAAUAUGGUGAGAACAAAUUACAAUUGAAGUAAUGUUUUGAUUUCUGAAAAUAGGAAAAUAAUGAAUGGGGAAAAUAUUGAUACUACACUAAAUUAUGUAUGUCUGUGUUGAGAAAGGCAGAAGAUGCCAAUAUGGCACGGUACUAAAAAAAAAAAAAAAAAAAAAAAAUCUGUGAUGGAAGCAGCUUUAUGUUCAAAUGAACCUAUUUAAAAGUAAUGCUAAUAAUUUUUUCCGUAAUUUCAUGAUGUUUUCUAUUGGAUGUGUAUAUUUAAUUUCAUUGAUGUGUUGAAAUAUGUCACAAAAAUCUUUUUGUCAUGGGAGAUUAAAUAAUGGUUGCAAUAUUUUUGUUUUGUUUUGUUUUAUCUAAAUUAAUAAAUAAAUAUAAUGUUGAAUGAUUUUGUAUACUAGUACAAAUGUAUACUUAAAUUUUAUGUAUGGUUAAAUUUUUUUAAUUUAAAUUUCUUUGUCUACAGUUCGAGGGACACUGAUUCCCUAGUGGUUUUCCACGUGGAUUGUAGGCAAAGGGAUUUUUCCUUUUCAAAGUGUGACUAAUGCUGUCUUUAGUACAAAUAAACAAUUUGUUAUUGGUUAAUAUAUUUUCAGCAGACAUGUGAAGAAUCGAGUGGAAAUACAAUUGUCAAUGUUCCUGAUUAUGAAGUAAAGAGUGUGUUUGAUUCAACAACAGUAAAGAAAGAGACAAGCCAGCAUAGUUUUACACUUGGAGGUUAAGUCCCUUUGCUUACAAGCUUUCCACAUGCUGAAGAUGUUAUUAGAAUAAUGACAAUGUUCAUUUUGAUAUGAGUUCAUUGCCUUAACUCAACUUUUAAAAGUCCGUAUGUGGUCAAAUUCAUGAGAAUUUAUUGAAUUAUGAACGAUUUAUAAAGAACUGUUUACAUGCAUCUUUAAAUGUUUAGAAGUGUUUUAAAGUAAUUUUAAAAGGAAUAAUAUUUAAUAAAAGUGUUGAAUUUGUUUUGAGUAUUGGGAAUACUAUUCCUUAAGGGAAAGCCUUGCUAGUGGUGUAUUUUGAGAUUGGCCUGCAAAUAUGCUGUAUGGACUAUAGAGUUUUCUAUGCCCAUAACUUAACAUGAACUGGAUGCAAGAUUAUAUCAAUCACUGAGGAUAUGUGUAUAACCUCAUUGGUUGAUAUCUUUGGCGGAAGUACAUGUGAUACAUCCUCAUUCUUUCAAUAUCCAAGUGGUGGUUGGUUUAAGGGCUAUGUUUGGUCAGGCAAUACAUAUUGCCUGUUUGGGUUGAUGAGGUUCUUGAUAAGUUCCCCCCUCUCCCACCCAUAAGUACCAAAAUGUGGAUAUGUUUUUAUAUUUAUAUUUCAAUAUUGGUAUUACAUGUAUGCAUUUUGGGUUGAUGAGCACGAGACAACAUUAGAAAAACAUGAGCAUUACCAUGGGAUCAUGUUGACAAAACAAACCUUCGCUUUAUCGAUUUUCAAGGGAAAGGUCAAUUAGGGCAAGUGUAUUGGCAUGUUUGUGUUUGCUUUUUCAUUACAAUGGUAAAAAUAAGAUUAUAUAUCUCUGAUGACAAAAAUUUUGAUUAUAAUGCUUCAUUUUAUGAGCUCCAGAGUAGUUUUAUAACUGAAAAACAACUGUGCACUAUAUCUAGUGAGCUCUUCUGCAUUGCAUUGUGCAUUGUAGUCCACAUUUUGGUUUCUGAAACGUUAAGAUAUUAUCUUGUAUUCGGUUCUUUCC
rnacentral:lncRNA from 1 species